rnacentral:RNase_P_RNA from 1 species
GGUGAGGUAAGAGCUCACCAGUGCUCCCGGUGACGGGAGCAGCUAGGUAAACCCCACCCGGAGCGAGACCAAAUAGGAGAGGAGAAGUUGCCCGCUUCGCUAUAACUCUCGGGUCGGUCGCAUGAGGCGUCGGGCAAUCGGCGUCCCAGAUGAAUGAUCGCCACGGAAGGUAACACUUCCGACAGAACUCGGCUUACCGUCUGCUCCGUCUA